rnacentral:rRNA from 1 species
GGCGGCGUGCUUAACACAUGCAAGUCGAACGGUAAGGCCCUUCGGGGUACACGAGUGGCGAACGGGUGAGUAACACGUGGGUGAUCUGCCCUGCACUUUGGGAUAAGCCUGGAAACUGGGUCUAAUACCGAAUAUGACCAUGGACUUCACGGUUUGUGGUGGAAAGCUUUUGCGGUGUGGGAUGGGCCCGCGGCCUAUCAGCUUGUUGGUGGGGUAAUGGCCUACCGAGGCGACGACGGGUAGCCGGCCUGAGAGGGUGACCGGCCACACUGGGACUGAGAUACGGCCCAGACUCCUACGGGAGGCAGCAGUGGGGAAUACUGCACAAUGGGCGCAAGCCUGAUGCAGCGACGCCGCGUGGGGAUGACGGCCUUCGGGUUGUAAACCUCUUUCACCAGGGACGAAGCGAGAGUGACGGUACCUGGAGAAGAAGGACCGGCCAACUACGUG